CUACAAAGGAAUUGACGGGACCGCACAAGCGGUGGAUGAUGUGGAUUAAUUCGAUGCAACGCGAAAACCUUACCUACCCUUGACAUGUCCGGAAUCCCGAAGAGAUUUGGGAGUGCUCGCAAGAGAGCCGGAACACAGGUGCUGCAUGGCUGUCGUCAGCUCGUGUCGUAAGAUGUUGGGUUAAGUCCCGCAACGAGCGCAACCCUUGUCAUUAGUUGCCAUCAUUUGGUUGGGCACUCUAAUGAGACUGCCGGUGACAAACCGGAGGAAGGUGGGGAUGACGUCAAGUCCUCAUGGCCCUUAUGGGUAGGGCUUCACACGUCAUACAAUGGUCGGUACAGAGGGUUGCCAACCCGCGAGGGGGAGCUAAUCCCACAAAGCCGAUCGUAGUCCGGAUCGCAGUCUGCAACUCGACUGCGUGAAGUCGGAAUCGCUAGUAAUCGCGGAUCAGCACGCCGCGGUGAAUACGUUCCCGGGCCUU
rnacentral:rRNA from 1 species